rnacentral:rRNA from 2 species
CAGCAGUCAAGAAUAUUAGUCAAUGCUCGCAAGAGUGAACUAGCUAACUGAAAUCUUAUUUAAGAUAACGUAAGGGAAAAUAAUGAUACUACCUUACUAUUAGUGUCGUCCAAAUCUGGUGCCAGAAGACUCGGUAAGGCCAGAGACGCAAACGUUAAUCAUCAUAAACAGGCGUAAAGGGUUUGUAGGCAGCUUCUAAUAUUUUUAUUUUAAUAUAGCUCGUGUGCCUCGGGAAACCGAAUAAGGCAAAGACUAUAUUAGUCUAUAAUCAUAUGAAAUAGAAAUAAAUGGAAGCUAGAAUCAAAUAGAGGUUAAAUCAUAUAAUGCUUAGAGUAGGGUUCCAAUCCGCAAAUACUAAGUAGAAUACUAAAGGCGAAGGCAUUUUUCCACUACUGAUUGACGCUGAGAAACGAAGGUGAGGAUAGGAAAUAGGAUUAGAGACCCAUGAACCCCUCACUGUCAACGAUGAAUGGUAGUUAUCAGUUUAUUAACUGGUUUCGAUGUUAACACGAUAACCAUUCCGCCUUGUGAGUACGAUUGCAAAAUUGAAAACAAAAAAAUUAGUCGGUCUCGAAGCCAACGAAGUGAAGCAUGUUAUUUAAUUCGAUAAUCCGC